rnacentral:rRNA from 1 species
ACGAACGCUGGCGGCGUGCUUAACCCAUGCCAGUCGCACGGAAAGGCCCUGCUUUUGUGGGGUGCUCGAGUGGCGAACGGGUGAGUAACACGUGAGUAACCUGCCCUUGACUUUGGGAUAACUUCAGGAAACUGGGGCUAAUACCGGAUAGGAGCUCCUGCUGCAUGGUGGGGGUUGGAAAGUUUCGGCGGUUGGGGAUGGACUCGCGGCUUAUCAGCUUGUUGGUGGGGUAGUGGCUUACCAAGGCUUUGACGGGUAGCCGGCCUGAGAGGGUGACCGGCGACAUUGGGACUGAGAUACGGCCCAGACUCCUACGGGUGGCAGCCGUGGGGAAUAUUGCACAAUGGGCGGAAGCCUGAUGCAGCAACGCCGCGUGCGGGAUGACGGCCUUCGGGUUGUAAACCGCUUUCGCCUGUGACGAAGCGUGAGUGACGGUAAUGGGUAAAGAAGCACCGGCUAACUACGUG